rnacentral:rRNA from 1 species
GAUGAACGCUGGCGGCGUGCCUAAUACAUGCAAGUCGAGCGAACAGACGAGGAGCUUGCUCCUCUGACGUUAGCGGCGGACGGGUGAGUAACACGUGGAUAACCUACCUAUAAGACUGGGAUAACUUCGGGAAACCGGAGCUAAUACCGGAUAAUAUAUUGAACCGCAUUGUUCAAUAGUGAAAGACGGUUUUGCUGUCACUUAUAGAUGGAUCCGCGCCGCAUUUGCUAGUUGGUAAGGUAACGGCUUACCAAGGCAACGAUGCGUAGCCGACCUGAGAGGGUGAUCGGCCACACUGGAACUGAGACACGGUCCAGACUCCUACGGGAGGCAGCAGUAGGGAAUCUUCCGCAAUGGGCGAAAGCCUGACGGAGCAACGCCGCGUGAGUGAUGAAGGUCUUCGGAUCGUAAAACUCUGUUAUUAGGGAAGAGCAAAUGUGUAAGUAACUAUGCACGUCUUGACGGUACCUAAUCAGAAAGCCACGGCUAACUACGUG